GGACCCGCACAAGCAGUGGAGCAUGUGGUUUAAUUCGACGCAACGCGAAGAACCUUACCAGCGUUUGACAUGGAAAGUACCGGUUACAGAAUGGUAACCUUCAGUUCGGCUGGCUUUCACACAGGUGCUGCAUGGCUGUCGUCAGCUCGUGUCGUGAGAUGUUGUGUUAAGUCCCGCAACGAGCGCAACCCUUAUCGUUAGUUGCCAGCGGGUAAUGCCGGGAACUCUAGCGAAACUGCCGGUGCAAACCGAGAGGAAGGUGGGGAUGACGUCAAAUCAUCACGGCCCUUACGUCCUGGCUACACACGUGCUACAAUGGCCGGUACAGAGAGCAGCCACUACGCGAGUAGGAGCG
rnacentral:rRNA from 1 species